rnacentral:rRNA from 1 species
GUGGGGAAUCUUGCGCAAUGGGCGAAAGCCUGACGCAGCCAUGCCGCGUGAAUGAUGAAGGUCUUAGGAUUGUAAAAUUCUUUCACCGGGGAAGAUAAUGACGGUACCCGGAGAAGAAGCCCCGGCUAACUUCGUGCCAGCAGCCGCGGUAAUACGAAGGGGGCUAGCGUUGCUCGGAAUUACUGGGCGUAAAGGGCGCGUAGGCGGACAUUUAAGUCAGAGGUGAAAGCCCAGGGCUCAACCUUGGAAUUGCCUUUGAUACUGGAUGUCUUGAGUUCGGGAGAGGUGAGUGGAAUGCCGAGUGUAGAGGUGAAAUUCGUAGAUAUUCGGCGGAACACCAGUGGCGAAGGCGACUCACUGGCCCGAUACUGACGCUGAGGCGCGAAAGCGUGGGGAGCAAACAGGAUUAGAUACCCGGGUAGUCC